AUUGAACGCUGGCGGCAGGCCUAACACCUGCACGUCGAGCGAGCGGCGGCCGGGUGAGUAAUGUCUGGGACACUGCCUGAUGGAAGGGGAUAACUACUGGAAACGGUAGCUAAUACCGCAUACCAUCAGAUUUUCCCAGAUGGGCUUAGUUAGUAGGUGGGGUAACGGCUCACCUAGGCGACCAUCCCUAGCUGGUCUGAGAGGAUGACCCGCAACCAUGGAACUGAGACACGGGCCAGACUCCGAAGGGAGGCAGCAGGGGGGAAUAUUGCACAAGGGGCGCAAGCCUGAUGCAGCCAUGCCGCGUGUGUGAAGAAGGCCUUCGGGUUGUAAAGCACUUUCAGCGGGGAGGCGUUACCCGCAGAAGAAGCACCGGCUAACUCCGUGCCAGCAGCCGCGGUAAUAC
rnacentral:rRNA from 1 species